GAUCCAGACUUUGAUCAUGGCUCAGGAUGAACGCUAGCUACAGGCUUAACACAUGCAAGUCGAGGGGCAGCAUGGUCUUAGCUUGCUAAGGCCGAUGGCGACCGGCGCACGGGUGAGUAACACGUAUCCAACCUGCCGUCUACUCUUGGACAGCCUUCUGAAAGGAAGAUUAAUACAAGAUGGCAUCAUGAGUCCACAUGUUCACAUGAUUAAAGGUAUUCCGGUAGACGAUGGGGAUGCGUUCCAUUAGAUAGUAGGCGGGGUAACGGCCCACCUAGUCUUCGAUGGAUAGGGGUUCUGAGAGGAAGGUCCCCCACAUUGGAACUGAGACACGGUCCAAACUCCUACGGGAGGCAGCGGUGAGGAAUAUUGGUCAAUGGGCGAGAGCCUGAACCAGCCAAGUAGCGUGAAGGAUGACUGCCCUAUGGGUUGUAAACUUCUUUUAUAAAGGAAUAAAGUCGGGUAUGCAUACCCGUUUGCAUGUACUUUAUGAAUAAGGAUCGGCUAACUCCGUGCCAGCAGCCGCGGUAAUACGGAGGAUCCGAGCGUUAUCCGGAUUUAUUGGGUUUAAAGGGAGCGUAGAUGGAUGUUUAAGUCAGUUGUGAAAGUUUGCGGCUCAACCGUAAAAUUGCAGUUGAUACUGGAUAUCUUGAGUGCAGUUGAGGCAGGCGGAAUUCGUGGUGUAGCGGUGAAAUGCUUAGAUAUCACGAAGAACUCCGAUUGCGAAGGCAGCCUGCUAAGCUGCAACUGACAUUGAGGCUCGAAAGUGUGGGUAUCAAACAGGAUUAGAUACCCUGGUAGUCCACACGGUAAACGAUGAAUACUCGCUGUUUGCGAUAUACGGCAAGCGGCCAAGCGAAAGCGUUAAGUAUUCCACCUGGGGAGUACGCCGGCAACGGUGCAACUCAAAUGAAUUGACGG
rnacentral:rRNA from 1 species